ensembl:lncRNA
AGAGAAUCCAAAGAAAUGAGGGAAAAUGGAGGGAGGGGGCGGGGGAUCAAGCUAGAGAGAGAGAGACAUUUUAGAGGGGAGAAAAUAAAGCAGACAGCUGGUCACAGACAGCCUGCCAGAAAAGAGAGGGGGGGCAGGAGCCCGGCCGCCACAAAUACGACAUUCUUGUGAGUCAGACGGUCCGACGCUGGCGGGAUCCUUCCUUCCUGGACGCAGGAAGCUCCCCCCCUCCUCCCCCUCACGGCCCUGCAGUGGGAACCCACCCCCCCCCCCCCCCCCCCGGCUGACCCUCUGCUGAGUCCGAACGGCGGGCCGGACUCAAACCCGCGGCCUCCUCACGGCGUCUCUGCACUAUGCAUUCCACUGUCCCCCGAUACCAAAGAUGACCGGGCCUGUGGGGGCGGAGCCGGGCCUAUGGGGGCGGAGCCGGACCUGUGGGGGCGGAGCCGGGUCUAUGGGGGCGGAGCCGGACACGUGGGGGCGGAGCCGGGUCUAUGGGGGCGGAGCCGGACCCGUGGGGACGGAGCCGGGCCUGUGAGGGCGGAGCCGGACCUCUGAAGGGUAGCCGGUCUUGUUUGGGCGGAGCCGGAUGUGGGGGCGGAGCCAGGUGUCCCAACGGAGGUUUUCUGGUCGCAUCACGGAGACGGACGGUGAAUGGACUCCCACAAGGGGGCGCUGCUCCCACCAGGGGGCGCUGUGGCCCUCGAGGCCGGAGCGCUGCUCCCACCAGGGGGGCGCUGUGGCCCUCGAGGCCGGAGCGCUGCUCCCACCAGGGGGCGCUGCUCCCACCAGGGGGCGCUGUGGCCCUCGAGGCCGGAGCGCUGCUCCCACCAGGGGGCGCUGCUCCCACCAGGGGGCGCUGCUCCCACCAGGGGGGCGCUGUGGCCCUCGAGGCCGGAGCGCGGCAUGACACAAAGACUGGACAGAGUCGCUGAUACAGGGGGGGGACAUUGUACCGGCCCCGAGGACUACAGUUGAAAUAGAAAACAUAUAAAAACAUGCAAAAUUGUACAAACUCAUGCUAAAGUUGAAGAUAUUCUGAAGGUUAUAUAUGUGGUACUUUUCUUUUCCUUUGUUAAAUGUAGUUGCACGAAUACAGUUUUAUUUUACAGAGAAUCGUGACCGGCGCUUUGAACCUUUGUGGUACGUUCUGAUUUGUCUUUUUCUUUUGACCUUUUUCUGAGUGUAAAAUAGAGCCCCCCCCCCUCACCCCAAUCUUAAAUGCUACUUCAGCAUAUAAAUACGAGGAAAUAUUAUUUAUAGGCUUUUGAUGUAGUAGACAAAUUAUAUGUAUAAUUAUUAGCCCAUGAGACGAAUCCCAAAGAUACCGACUUUGUUUUCUCUCGUUUGCCGGGCAAAGAAAGGCACAAAGCUCUUAAAUGCAUUUUUUUUUAUCUGUUAUGGAUUUCAUUUUUAUUACAAACAAUGAACGCAAUUAAGUUAAAAAAAAACAAUGGUCUCUAGAUUUCCCUGCAUUGUUUUCAUCCUAUUUUUAUAUUCACCACUUGGUGAAAUAAAUCCAAUAAGAGAC